rnacentral:lncRNA from 1 species
GAUAUUUUGAAAUACCGAAAUAAAAUAUGCAAAUCUGCAGAUACAAGCUUGAACAUAACACUCUAAAUAGUCUGUUAGAUUGUGAUUCGAACAAGACUAAUACCAAAAUGAAACGUUGAAAGUAGCCAAAGUUAUAUAAUUUCGGCGAAAGGUAUAUAUGGCUUAUUAAAUAGUGAUACAUUGUUUACAUCGGUUCGAGUAUAUUGUAUAUAGGUAUGAUUAGUUUACAUUGUUCGAGUUUGGCUAGUUUAUAAUUUAUGACUAUUUUACAUUAUUCAAUUACAUAAUAUCUUUCAAGCGGAAUUUUUUGGUGGUAUUUUCCGUAUUUCUACUGCAAAAUACUACUUAUACUACUUAUACUUUACCAAAAUACUUUACCAAUUACUAUGUUACUAACAACAAAAUACAUCAACACAAUACAAGAAACGCAUCCAAACUUCAUAAAUCAUACUCCAGAACUAAUUUUGUCAAACAUUCACUUCAAAAUAAGGGUGUAAAUAUCUGGAAUGAGUUAAAUACCGACUUAAAAAAUUUAAAAUCCUAUUGCACAUUCAAAAAAAAUUCAAAAAACCACUUCUUGCUGUUGCAUUCGGAAACAUAGAUUUUAUUAUAUGUAUGUUUGUCAUUAUUUGAAACAUUAUAAAAAUUCUUCAAUCUCAUCUUCUUUUUUCUUUUUCUAUUAAACUUACUUUAAGUUCUGACCAAUCAAUGUAAAUAAUUAAAUACUUUUAACCUAGGGGUCUUAAUCAAAAGCCUUUGUUUGGUUUCUAGUAGACCUCUAGCCCUAUUUCUGUAAUUCUAUAUCCUAUAUACACAUAUAUAUAUAUAUUUUUUCUGUAUGUAUGGGCGAAAACUUUAAAAAUAAAAUAAAUAAAAUAAAAUACUCGCGGAGUUCUUUAGUAUAUGGAAUUGAGUUGACAACCUCCGCCUUUAUAAAAUAGCGGGACUUCGGCAUUAAAAACAGCCGUUCUGAGCAUGCGCUGCGCCAAUUAUCCAAUCAGAAACUAGAAUUUCUUGUAUAAAAUAGUAUUGCAUAUCCCGCCAUAUGAAAAUCAGCGGAACACGAGACAUGCGAUUCACGAAUUGCGUGAGUAAGCAAUAAUUGCGUGGAAAUGAGCUAAUUUUGGGUUUCGGAGGUCAAAGAGCAGACAGCAACAUUGCGUUAACUAUAAAUAAAUAAAUGAAAGCACUGAAAAAUGAUCACAAUUAUAUAAAUUUUCAGAAUAAGAAAAGCUGUUAAUUUGGCUUCACUAUAAAGCAUUUCCUCAUUUUUUUUAUGAAAUUUCUAGUCCCGCCAGGCGGGACAGCGGGACCGCUAGCUACGCCACUGUCACCCAUCGAAGUUACUUGGUUGCUGACGGUUUUGUCGAGAUCGUACUCUUAAAUCUAUACCAAUAAUAAUCACAAAGCAAUCUUGCUCCAACGCCAUCGCAAUGUGUAAACCGACGUCUGUACAAGAGUAUACGCAUGCAUUUACUGCAUUGAUAAAGUUACACAGGCUUUCUGUAUGCUAAAGAUACAAGCAGAGCAAAUCAAGGGCCCAGUGUAAAAACAAGCUAUAUGUGAGGUUCGAUUCGCCUUUUGCAGUAUUUUGAGAAUACACUAUAUGUACACGCAAAGUGGUAUUUGUUUUUGUACGCCGUGCUUAUUUUAUCGCUGUGUUUCCGCGUUAUGCCCGGACGCGUAGUAUCUGCACAGGUCAGCUAUGCAUAGAAAUGUUUUUCGUUCAUAUUACGUAUCAAAAAUAGGUUCGCUAAGCGUACAUGUACGUAUUGCGCCAAGAAAACGAUCUGUCAGUUACUAGUUCGUGAAAGGAACACAUAGUAAUUUGAGGUAAUUAAAAGUAGUUCAAAAGCGUCAGAUUGUGUUAAACAAGGGUUACGUUCAGGGUUAUGAAUAACUUUUAUGAUCACACAAACCUUAUAAUUUGAUCAAACUGUUUUGUGGGUCUUAAGGCUGGAACUCGGACACACCGGACGCG